GAUGAACGCUAGCUACAGGCUUAACACAUGCAAGUCGAGGGACCGGCGCACGGGUGAGUAACACGUAUCCAACCUGCCCUUUACUCGGGGAUAGCCUUUCGAAAGAAAGAUUAAUACCCGAUAUAAAGGAUGGGGAUGCGUUCCAUUAGGUUGUUGGUGAGGUAACGGCCCACCAAGCCUUCGAUGGAUAGGGGUUCUGAGAGGAAGGUCCCCCACAUUGGAACGGGUGCACGGUCCAAACUCCUACGGGAGGCAGCAGUGAGGAAUAUUGUUCAAUGGGCGGUAGCCUGAACCAGCCAAGUAGCGUGAAGGAUGAGGGCUUCUGGGGCGUCAACUUUUUAUAAAUAAGAAUAUGUAUUAUACCAAUAAGCAUCGGCUCACUCCGUGCCAGCCGCCGCGGUAAUUC
rnacentral:rRNA from 1 species